CGACGGAGCGGCCGACGGGCGCGGCAUUCCCAUCGGCCUUUGAGUUCAAACCGUACGGGCAGAGCGGGAUCGAAGUGAGCUCGAUAUUCAGUGAACUCGGCGAGUGCGUCGACGACAUGUGCUUCAUUCGCUCGAUGUAUGCGGAUAUUCCGAAUCACGAGCCUUCGUUGUUAUUGAUGAACUGCGGCGAGGCGCGGCUGAUCCGGCCGAGCGUGGGUUCUUGGGUGACGUACGGUUUGGGGACGGAGAACCAAAACUUGCCGGGCUUUAUUUCGAUGUGCCCGCGGGGUUAUCCGAUCCAGGAGUCGCAGAACUGGCAAUCGGGUUUUUGCCGGGCGUGUAUCAGGGGACGUACGUUGACACGCAGUUCGACGACAUCGAGAAGUUGAUCCAGAACGUCAAAAACAACUACACGUCAUCGCGGCAUCAGCGCGCGCAGCUUGACCUUUUGCAAGAGCUGAAUCACGAGCACCAAGCCGCGCGUACGGAAGAUGCCCACCUCGAGGCGCGGAUCCAAUCGUUCGAGCUGGCGUACCGCAUGCAAGUCGACGCGACCGACGCAUUCGACAUCUCGAAGGAACCGCGGCACUUGCGCGAGAUGUACGGCGGCGGCGUGCAGGCGCGGCAGUUGCUCAUCGCGCGCAGACUCAUCGAACGCGGCGUUCGGUUCGUGCAGGUCUGGCACGGCGAGGGACAACCCUGGGACAACCACGACGACAUCGCCGUGAACCACGAGCGGCUCGCCAAACAGUGCGAUCGCGGGUUGUCGGGACUGAUCAAGGAUUUGAAGCAGCGGGGCAUGCUCGAGGACACGCUGGUGAUUUGUAGCGGCGAAUUCGGCCGCACACCAACCGUCGAAUUACCCACGCCCGGAGCGAAUGCCGGCAAGAUCAACGGCCGCGACCACAACCACUACGGGUUCACCCUGUGGAUGGCCGGCGGCGGCGUCAAAGGCGGCUACGUCCACGGCGCGACGGACGAAUUUGGAUUCCAGGCCGCAGAAAACAAAGUCCACGUCCACGACCUGCACGCGACCAUGCUGCACCUGCUGGGGUUCGAUCACACGCGGUUGACGUAUCGGUACGCGGGGCGUGAUUUCCGUUUGACGGACGUGCAUGGGAAUGUUGUGCACGACGUGAUCGCCUAGCUGCCGAUCGCCGUACAAUCUAGAGUUUCGGGUU
rnacentral:misc_RNA from 1 species